rnacentral:rRNA from 1 species
GACGAACGCUGGCGGCGUGCUUAACACAUGCAAGUCGAACGGAAAGGCCCUGCUUGCAGGGUACUCGAGUGGCGAACGGGUGAGUAACACGUGGGUGAUCUGCCCUGCACUUCGGGAUAAGCUUGGGAAACUGGGUCUAAUACCGGAUAGGACCGCACUUUAGUGUGCGUGGUGGAAAGUUUUUUCGGUGUAGGAUGAGCUCGCGGCCUAUCAGCUUGUUGGUGGGGUAAUGGCCUACCAAGGCGGCGACGGGUAGCCGGCCUGAGAGGGUGUACGGCCACAUUGGGACUGAGAUACGGCCCAGACUCCUACGGGAGGCAGCAGUGGGGAAUAUUGCACAAUGGGCGCAAGCCUGAUGCAGCGACGCCGCGUGGGGGAUGAAGGCCUUCGGGUUGUAAACUCCUUUCGCUAGGGACGAAGCUUUUUGUGACGGUACCUAGAUAAGAAGCACCGGCUAACUACGUG